UACAGAGGUCCCAAGCGUUGUUCGGAUUCAUUGGGCGUAAAGGGUGCGUAGGCGGUGGGGUAAGUUGGAUGUAAAAUCUUGGGGCUUAACCUCAAAAUUGCAUUCAAUACUGCUCCGCUCGAGUUCUGUAGAGGAGAUUGGAAUUUACGGUGUAGCAGUGAAAUGCGUAGAUAUCGUAAGGAACGCCAGUGGCGAAAGCGAAUCUCUGGGCAGCAACUGACGCUGAGGCACGAAGGCCAGGGGAGCAAACGGG
rnacentral:rRNA from 1 species